rnacentral:rRNA from 1 species
AACCAACAGGGAUUGCCUCAGUAACGGCGAGUGAAGCGGCAAAAGCUCAAAUUUUAAAGCUGACAUCUUCGGUGUCCGCGUUGUAAUUUUGUGAGGCAUCUCCGGGUAGGGCGCCGGCCUAAGUUCCUUGGAACAGGACGUCACAGAGGGUGAGAAUCCCGUGCUUGGCUGGCUGUCCCCGUCCAUGUGAGGUGUCUUCGACGAGUCGAGUUGUUUGGGAAUGCAGCUCAAAAUGGGUGGUAAAUUUCAUCUAAAGCUAAAUAUUGGUGGGAGACCGAUAGCGCACAAGUAGAGUGAUCGAAAGAUGAAAAGCACUUUGAAAAUAGAGUUAAAAAGUACGUGAAAUUGUUGAAAGGGAAGCGCUUGAGACCAGACUUCGGUAAGGGGUGAUCAGCCGUCCUUCUGGGCGGUGCACUUGCCCCCCUCCGGGCCAGCAUCGGUUGAGGCGGCGGGAUAAAGGUCCCGGGAAUGUGGCUCCUUCACGGGAGUGUUAUAGCCCGGGUGAAUGCCGCCAGCUUCGACCGAGGACCGCACCC